rnacentral:tRNA from 3 species
UCUAAUAUGGCAGAUUAGUGCAAUAGAUUUAAGCUCUAUAAAUAAAGAAUAAACUUUUAUUAGAA